rnacentral:rRNA from 1 species
CCCUACGGGGUGCAGCAGGCGCGAAAACUUUACAAUGCGGGCAACCGUGAUAAGGGAACCUCGAGUGCCUGUAUACGCAGGCUGUCCAGGUGCCUAAAACACACCUGAAGAAAGGGCCGGGCAAGACCGGUGCCAGCCGCCGCGGUAA